rnacentral:rRNA from 1 species
UACGGGGGGGCAAGCGUUGUUCGGAAUUACUGGGCGUAAAGGGCUCGUAGGUGGCCAACUAAGUCAGACGUGAAAUCCCUCGGCUUAACCGGGGAACUGCGUCUGAUACUGGAUGGCUUGAGGUUGGGAGAGGGAUGCGGAAUUCCAGGUGUAGCGGUGAAAUGCGUAGAUAUCUGGAGGAACACCCGUGGCGAAGGCGGCUCUCUGGGACGGUACUGGACGCUGAGACGGCGAAAAGCGUGGGGAGCGAACAGG